GAUGAAGAACGCAGUGAAAUGCGAUACGUAAUGUGAAUUGCAGAAUUCAGUGAAUCAUCGAGUCUUUGAACGCACAUUGCGCCCCUUGGUAUCCCGAGGGGCAUGCCUGCUCGAGCGUCAUUUCACCACUCAAGCCUGGCUUGGUGUUGGGCGACGUCCCCUUUGGGGACGCGCCUCGAAACGCUCGGCGGCGUGGCACCGGCUUUAAGCGUAGCAGAAUCUUUCGCUUUGGAAGUCGGGGCCCCGUCUGCCGGAAGACCUACUCGCAAGGUUGACCUCGGAUCAGGCAGGGAUACCCGCUGAACUUAAGCAUAUCAAUAAGCGGAGGA
rnacentral:misc_RNA from 1 species